rnacentral:rRNA from 1 species
GACGAACGCUGGCGGCGUGCUUAACACAUGCAAGUCGAACGGAAAGGCCCUGCUUUUGUGGGGUGCUCGAGUGUCGAACGGGUGAGUAACACGUGAGUAACCUGCCCUUGACUUUGGGAUAACUUCAGGAAACUGGGGCUAAUACCGGAUAGUAGCUCCUGCUGCAUUGUGGGGGUUGGAAAGUUUCGGCGGUUGGGGAUGGACUCGCGGCUUAUCAGCUUGUUGGUGGGGUAGUGGCUUACCAAGGCUUUGACGGGUAGCCGGCCUGAGAGGGUGACCGGCCACAUUGGGACUAAGAUACGGCCCAGACUGGUACGGGAGGCAGCAGUGGGGAAUAUUGCACAAUGGGCGGAAGCCUGAUGCAGCAACGCCGCGUGCGGAAUGACGGCCUUCGAGGUGUAAACCGCUUUCGCCUGUGACGAAGCGUGAGUGACGGUAAUGGGUAAAGAAGCACCGGCUAACUACGUG